GAUGAACGCUGGCGGCGUGCCUAAUACAUGCAAGUCGAGCGAACAGACGAGGAGCUUGCUCCUCUGACGUUAGCGGCGGACGGGUGAGUAACACGUGGAUAACCUACCUAUAAGACUGGGAUAACUUCGGGAAACCGGCGCUAAUACCGGAUAAUAUAUUGAACCGCAUGGUUCAAUAGUGAAAGACGGUUUUGCUGUCACUUAUAGAUGGAUCCGCGCCGCAUUAGCUAGUUGGUAAGGUAACGGCUUAUCAAGGCAACGAUGCGUAGCCGACCUGAGAGAGUGAUAGGCCACACUGGAGCUGAGACACGGUCCAGACUCCUACGGGAGGCAGCAGUAGGGAAUCUUCCGCAAUGGGCGAAAGCCUUACGGAGCAACGCCGCGUGAGUGAUGACGGUCUUCGGAGCGUAAAAAUCUGUUAUUAGGGAAGAACAAAUGUGUAAGUAACUAUGCACGUCUUGACGGUACCUAAUCAGAAAGCCACGGCUAACUACGUG
rnacentral:rRNA from 1 species